UGCUUAACACAUGCAAGUCGAACGCAACCUUCGGGUUGAGUGGCGGACGGGUGAGUAACGCGUGAGAAUCUGCCUUGGGGUCGGGGACAACCACUGGAAACGGUGGCUAAUACCGGAUAAGCCUUUGGGUAAAAGAUUUAUUGCCCCAAGAGGAGCUCGCGUCUGAUUAGCUAGUUGGUGAGGUAAAAGCUCACCAAGGCAGCGAUCAGUAGCUGGUCUGAGAGGACGAUCAGCCACACUGGGACUGAGACACGGCCCAGACUCCUACGGGAGGCAGCAGUGGGGAAUUUUCCGCAAUGGGCGAAAGCCUGACGGAGCAAGACCGCGUGAGGGAGGAAGGCUCUUGGGUUGUAAACCUCUUUUCUCAGGGAAGAAGCUCUGACGGUACCUGAGGAAUCAGCCUCGGCUAACUCCGUGCCAGCAGCCGCGGUAAUACGGAGGAGGCAAGCGUUAUCCGGAAUUAUUGGGCGUAAAGCGUCCGCAGGUGGCGAUUCAAGUCUGCUGUCAAAGCACGGGGCUUAACUCCGUUAAGGCAGUGGAAACUGAAUAGCUAGAGUGCCGUAGGGGUAGAGGGAAUUCCCGGUGUAGCGGUGAAAUGCGUAGAGAUCGGGAAGAACAUCGGUGGCGAAAGCGCUCUACUGGACGGCAACUGACACUCAGGGACGAAAGCUAGGGGAGCGAAUGGGAUUAGAUACCCCAGUAGUCCUAGCUGUAAACGAUGGAUACUAGGUGUAGCUUGUAUCGACCCGAGCUGUGCCGAAGCUAACGCGUUAAGUAUCCCGCCUGGGGAGUACGCACGCAAGUGUGAAACUCACAGGAAUUGACGGGGGCCCGUACAAGCGGUGGAGUAUGUGCGUUAAUUCGAUGCAACGCGAAAACCUUUACCAGGGCUUGACAUGUCCGGAA
rnacentral:rRNA from 1 species